rnacentral:rRNA from 1 species
AGGGCACCACCAGGAGUGGAGCCUGCGGCUUAAUUUGACUCAACACGGGAAAACUCACCCGGCCCGGACACUACAAAGAUUGACAGAUUGAGAGCUCUUUCUUGAUUUACUGGGUGGUGGUGCAUGGCCGUUCUUAGUUGGUGGAGUGAUUUGUCUGGUUAAUUCCGAUAACGAACGAGACUCUAGCCUACUUAAUAGCUCCACCCUUCCUUAUGGCGGUGGCUAACUUCAUAAAGGGAUAAUCUGCAACUCACCGAAUGAGAUAGAGCAAUAACAGGUCUGUGAUGCCCUUAAAUGUCCGGAGCCGACCGCGCGCUACGCUGAAUAGGUCAACUAGAAUAUGUUCCUGCUCCGCUAGGAGUGGGUAACCCAUUGAACCUUCUUCGUGAUAGGGAUUGGUCUUUGUAAUUAUAGACCAUGAACGAGGAAUUCCCAGUAAGUGCGAGUCAUCAGCUUGCGUUGAUUACGUCCCUGCCCUUUGUACACACCGCCCGUCGCUACUACCGAUUGAAUGAUUUA